CCAGGUUGGUCUCAAACUCCUGAGCCCAAGUGAUCCACCUACCUUGGUCUCGCAAAGUGCCUGGAUUAUAGGUGUGAGCUGCCACGCCCAGCCUUGUUUUUCUUAAUAGUCCCUGCCAUCGUUAGGUAGUGGGUUGAUUGUCCUGCCUCACUAGAGUAUAAGUUCAGCAGGACAAGGACCUGUGUCUCGUUCACUGCUGUGCUCCAGUGUGUGGGACAAGCCCAGCCACCAAGCUCUCCGUUCUGUGUUGUCUGUCUUCCGUGUGAGUGAGUAUGUGCCUGUGUGAGUGCACACAGACGUGCCCAUUCGCCUAGCCCUUGACUGGGAGGGUGUUGGGGUCAGAGUGGGCCCAGGGUAAUUUGGGAAGGCAUCACCAGAGAUUCGAAGCCCCAUGUGUGGGAAGGUGGGGAGGAGGGACAGGGAGAUUAGAAUUUCCCCCAGGCCCCUUCCCUGCUAACUGGUGAGCCCUGCCUCCCCCAGGAGCCCGCUGCGAGGCCAACACCUUCGAUGGUGAGCGCUGCCUCUAUGGGGCACUGAGUGACCCCAUCCGCCGGGCUCUACGUGAUUACAAGCAGGUCACGGCUUCCUGCAGGAGGCGGGAUUACUAUGACGACUUCUUGCAGCGGUGAGCCAGGGCACAUGAGGGGUGCAGCAUGGGGUGCGGUGGCCCUGGUGGGUGUGGCGAGUCUGCUCUGACUGUGGCCUGCACUGGGUUCUGAGUGCUCCGAGGAAUGGGGUGGGGCUGUGCCAAGUAUCCUCCCUCCUGGCUUGUCCCUCCCCAGGCUUCUAGAGCAGGGCAUCCACAGUGACGUGGUCUUUGUAGUACACGGGAAGCCAUUCCGGGUGCAUCGCUGCAUCCUGGGUGCACGUAGUGCCUACUUUGCGAACAUGCUGGACACCAAAUGGAAGGGCAAGAGUGUCGUGGUUCUCAGGCACCCACUGAUCAACCCCGUGGCCUUUGGGGCCCUGCUGCAGUACCUGUACACAGGUGACCCCCUGGGUCCAGGGUAGGAGGAAAGGGAGUGGGCCGUCCUUCUGGACAGCAGUACACCUAGGUGUGGCUGGGCUGACCUUUCACCUCUAGACACUUCAUGGUCCCCCCAGGGUGGUUCCAGCUGCCUCUCGGGUUGGGUUGCAAGAGAGAGGACUAGUGUGCCUGCUCAGGAAGAGCUUGUCCCACCCACAUGCUGAGGCCCUCCCAUCUGUUCCCUGGGGCCUGUAGAACAGCUUUUGAUGGGGAAACCAUGGUGGCAAGUGGGCCCAGGAGUCCUAGUCCUGCAGCCAGGUGGCCAGGUGGGAGGGGAUCACCCUUUUUCUGUGGGCCUGAUGACAGCUGAGGUCCCGCAGGCCCUCAUCCUUCCCACUGCCCCCAGGCCGCCUGGACAUUGGCGUAGAGCAUGUGAGUGACUGUGAGCGCCUGGCCAAGCAAUGCCAGCUGUGGGACCUGCUCAGCGACCUGGAGGCCAAGUGCGAGAAGGUGUCUGAGUUUGGUGCGAGCAGGGUUUGGGGCCCGGGGCCAUGGGUGCGGCCUGGCAGGGCUGGCCUGGCUCCCUGAAGUUGUUCUUCCCCUGUAGUGGCGUCUAAGCCAGGCACGUGUGUGAAGGUGCUGACCAUCGAGCCCCCACCUGCAGACCCCCGCCUCCGGGAGGACAUGGCGCUGCUGGCCGAUUGUGCCCUGCCCCCCGAGCUCCGAGGUGAUCUUUGGGAGCUGCCCUUCCCUUGUCCUGACGGCUUCAACAGCUGCCCUGACAUCUGCUUCCGAGUGGCUGGCUGCAGCUUCCUCUGCCACAAGGUGCCUGUGCCCUCCUGUUGCCCCUGGCCCCAGCCCGUUGCCCUGAGCCCCCGUCUAGCUCCUCAGGAGACAGACCCUGGCCCUCACACUUCCUGAGCCCGGCCUCCCCCAGGCCUUUUUCUGUGGCCGCAGUGACUACUUCCGAGCCCUGCUGGAUGACCACUUCCGAGAGAGCGAGGAGCCAGCGACCUCAGGGGGCCCCCCAGCCGUCACCCUGCAUGGCAUCUCACCCGACGUCUUCACUCACGUGCUCUACUACAUGUACAGCGACCACACUGAGGUGGGGGCUCAGGCAGAGCUGGGGAUGGCACACAACCUGUGCUGCCGUGGGCUGAGAGGGAGCGCCAGGGCCCUGGGGGUCUGUGGAAGGGCCCAGCUGGCCCCAUGGUUGACGUUUUGAGAAGGCUGGAGGGGAAGGCUGUGGGACUUUGGAUUUUUCUUUCAGGUAGAGGAAGCCUUGUUGGGCUCCAGAGAGAGGAUGAGUGAUGAGCUUGUGUCACAGACACUCCACACUUGUCAGCCACUUGGGAUCCUCAGCUUCUCUAGCAGGAGGGUGGAGGGUGGGUGGGGACAGCCUCCUCUCUGUGGUGCUGCAGAUCCCUGGGGUUCUGGGUUCCCAGUCUCCUCUUCCCUUGCUGCCUGCCUCUGUCUCCAGCUGCCCCAAGGUGUCCGUAAGCCAAGGCUGCAGGGCAGCAGCAGAGUGCUGAAGGUUUGCUCUGCCAGGGUGUGUGAGAGAGAGAGAGUGUGUGUGUGUGCGUGCGCGUGCGCGCGCACUAUAAAGCGAUCCCCAUAUCUGGUGGCUUAAAGAAGAGGGGAGUUUGUUUCUCCUUCACUUCUGACUGAGGUGGGUGCCCCAGGGCAAGUGGCUUGCGGAAGAUCAGGUCAUCCCUCCAUCUUGCCCCUGUAUGCCUAAGGGUGAAGGUCAAAAACCUUUUCUCUAAAGGUGAGUGUUUCAGGUUCUGUGGGCCAUAUGGCCCUGUUGUAGCUACUGAACUCUGUAGCGCAAAGGUAGCCAGAGACAGUACAGAGAUGAGUGGGUGAGGCUGCAUUCCAAUAAAACUUUACUUGCACAAACAGGCUGGAUUUGGUCCACAGGCCGUAGCUUACCCAUCCUGCCUGGGGCAUCGCCUUUGGCCAUGGAGAUUGGGUCCUAGGCAAACUCAUGCUCUAGGAGGAAGAGGAAGGCAAGGCAAGCAAUGCUGUUUUUGUAGAAGCCACCGGAAAUUGCACCACUUCUCAUGUUCCCCUGGAGAGAACUUCGUGCCUACCUGCCAACAAGGGAGGCUUGGAAAGUCAUUCUGUGGCCAGGGCCCUGUUUUGUGGGGGAAGGGGAGGAAGCAUGCUGGGAGACAGAGGGCAGUCCCUACUGCUGCUCUAUCUCCAGUGGCAGCUCCCUUGUCCAUCCCUCCCCGCGGCCUGACAGCCCCUCAGCCUCCAUCUUUCCCACCCCCUCUACUGGGCAUCUCCUGCAGCUCAGCCCAGCUCUCUGGCCCCUGUAGCAGGGGUUACCUUUGCCCACCCUGGAGAAGCUCCCUCUUCAAGGAGCCUCACCACCCCAAGGGCACCUUGUCUCAGAGUGUGGCUUGGGCUCCUAACCUGGGUUGAUACUGGUUGAGCUGUGUGACACUGGGUGAGCUUUGUGAUCUUGGGCCAGUUACUUAACUGCUCUGUGCCUCUAGAACAUGGGGAUAGCGCUCGUCGUCGUUUCCUAAGGCCUUGUGCAGAUGCAUGGGUUACCCAGGUAAAGGAGGUGGCAUGGCACAUGGCACGUGGCCUGUAAUGUGGUCGCAGAGCUCCCCUUGUCUCUGUCUGCAGCUUGCUCCCUGUGCCACCUAGGCUCUGGCCUGAAUCUGAGGGCUUCAGUCUUGUCUAGCACAGGAUGUACCUGUAGGUGGGCUCUGUGUCCCCACAGCCUCUUGAGAGGGAGGGAGCUGGUAGAUAGUCUCCCAUCCCUGGCAGGGUCCCUGCAUGGGUCUUGACUAGCUGCCUCUGUCCCUCCAUUCUGACAGCCCCCGCAGGUAGGCAUGGUUAUCUAUACCUCAUGGACUGGGAACUAGAGGCACAGGGAGGUGCAGUGACUUGCCCAGGGCCCCACAGCUAGAAGUGUCAGACCCAGGUCUGUGUAACUCGGAGCUCAGACCCUGGCUCCUGCGAGGGCCCUGCCUCCUGCGAGAGCCCUGCCUCCCGCCUGCCCUGCCAGCCUGCUCAGGGCAUGGGAGAACCCCCGAGUCUUCUGCCCCCUAGCAGUCCUGCAGAUCCCUGUGGGAAUCUGGGCCAGCCCCCCGACCCCCAACCCCAUACAUGCGCAGGGAGCUCCUACUCCCACUGGAAGCCUUCCCGCCAGUGCCCCCCAACCACCGCAGGCCCUAGCCUUGGCUGUUGUGCCCUGGGAGCCCUUGGUGACCUCGGGGGGCACCAUCAUCCCUGUCUUCACUGCAGCUGUCCCCCGAGGCAGCCUAUGAUGUGCUGAGCGUCGCCGACAUGUACCUGCUGCCAGGCCUGAAGAGGCUGUGCGGCCGCAGCCUGGCUCAGGUGCUAGACGAGGACACUGUGGUGGGUGUGUGGCGCGUGGCCAAGCUCUUCCGCCUGGCGCGGCUUGAGGACCAGUGCACUGAGUACAUGGCCAAGGUCAUUGAGAAGCUGGUGGAGCGGGAGGACUUCGUGGAGGCGGUGAAGGAGGAGGCAGCGGCUGUGGCAGCCCGGCAGGAGACGGACUCUAUCCCGCUGGUGGACGACAUCCGCUUCCACGUGGCCAGCACGGUGCAGACCUACAGCGCCAUAGAGGAGGCGCAGCAGCGUCUGCGGGCACUCGAGGACCUGCUCAUGUCCAUCGGUCUGGACUGUUGAGCCCCUGGCUGGGCAGCCCCAGGGGCCAGGAGCUCUCUUGGAGACAAGCAUGUGUAUGCGUUUGUGUGCAGCUCUUCUUCCUGCUCCCUGCACAUUGAGGGCUUCAUGGGGGGUGCAAGGGGCUCAGUGGGGCUUCUCUUCCCUCCAUGAGCCUGGAGACCCCAGGGGAGGAUCCAUUUGGGAUGAGCCCCCUCCCCCCAAUGCACAAGCCAGCCCCCAAGACCCUGGGGGUGGGCACCACUCAGGGAAACCUGGGGUGGGGGUGGGCUUUGGUCUUAGCACUUUCCUUCUCCAGAUCCCCCCUACCCACCCCAGUCCCAAAUCCAGUCCUCUGGCCCUUGCCUAGCCCUGAAUUGCUUCUCUAAGCUGGUGUUCCCAUGCACAGGGCCAUUCAGGAAGGGCUGGGGGAGUGUGUGUGGCAAUAAAGCUUGAAGGC
rnacentral:sRNA from 1 species